rnacentral:rRNA from 1 species
AUGGAGAGAAGUUUUUUGUACUUUAUUAUUAGGUAUAUAUUUUUGGAUUUUUUAACUUAUAAAGUUAGUUAUCGAAUGUUUGAACAUUUGAGCAAAAAGAUCCGCUCUUCCUCUCUGUUUCUUUUUACACCGCAUUUAGCUUUGUCUUUUAAGUCAAACUUUCUAAAGUUUGAUCAAAUAAUAUUUAAAAUUACUAGAAUCUACAAUACAAGUAAAUACAAUAUUAAAAUAUGUAUAUUGCAUGAUAGAUCUAGUUAUAUUGGUUUGGCAUUGUGGAAGUUGGUAUUUUUUUCUAUAAAUUUGGUCAAACUUCAAAAGUUGACUUCAGACAAACCUAAUAUGAUAUGGGAAGUAAAAAGCACUCAAACGAGUUAUUGCAAGAAAUAUUUUAUUUUUGUUCUGAAUGGGAAUUGCUUGAUAGCUACGUAG